GACGAACGCUGGCGGCGUGCCUAAUACAUGCAAGUCGAGCGGACUUUCAAGAAGCUUGCUUUUUGAAAGUUAGCGGCGGACGGGUGAGUAACACGUGGGCAACCUGCCUGCAAGACGGGGAUAACUCCGGGAAACCGGGGCUAAUACCGGAUAAUAUCUUCCUUCGCAUGAAGGAAGGUUGAAAGGCGGCGCAAGCUGCCGCUUGCAGAUGGGCCCGCGGCGCAUUAGCUAGUUGGUGAGGUAACGGCUCACCAAGGCGACGAUGCGUAGCCGACCUGAGAGGGUGAUCGGCCACACUGGGACUGAGACACGGCCCAGACUCCUACGGGAGGCAGCAGUAGGGAAUCUUCCGCAAUGGACGAAAGUCUGACGGAGAAACGCCGCGUGAGCGAAGAAGGUCGUCGGAUCGUAAAGCUCUGUUGUCAGGGAAGAACAAGUACCGUUCGAACAGGGCGGUACCUUGACGGUACCUGACCAGAAAGCCACGGCUAACUACGUG
rnacentral:rRNA from 1 species